rnacentral:rRNA from 1 species
AGUGAACGCUGGCGGCAGGCCUAACACAUGCAAGUCGAGCGGCAGCGCGUCCGACCACCCUCGGGUGGUCGGAUGGCGGCGAGCGGCGGACGGGUGAGGAAUGCAUCGGAAUCUGCCUCGUUGUGGGGGAUAACGUAGGGAAACUUACGCUAAUACCGCAUACGACUUACGGGUGAAAGUGGGGGACCUUCGGGCCUCACGCGAUGAGAUGAGCCGAUGCCGGAUUAGCUAGUUGGCGGGGUAAAGGCCCACCAAGGCGACGAUCCGUAGCUGGUCUGAGAGGAUGAUCAGCCACACUGGAACUGAGACACGGUCCAGACUCCUACGGGAGGCAGCAGUGGGGAAUAUUGGACAAUGGGGGCAACCCUGAUCCAGCCAUGCCGCGUGCGGGAAGAAGGCCUUUGGGUUGUAAACCGCUUUCGGACGGAAAGAAAUCGCAUGGGUUAAUACCCUGUGUGGAUGACGGUACCGUAAGAAGAAGCACCGGCUAACUACGUGCCAGCAG